ACCUUAUUUGUAUCAAGUUUUUGGAUUAUUACUCCCUUCGUUUUGAAUUAGUUGACCCUCUUUUUAAAAAAAUUUGUUUCUAUUUACUUGUUCAACUUAUCAAAUCAAGACUAUUUUACACAAAUUCUUCCCAUUCUACGCUUAAUAGGUAUUAAAUAUAACUACACUUUUCAAAAAUUUUGAAAAUAACACUUAUAUUUUAAAUACAAAUUUUAUGAAACUUGACUUUUUUUCUUCUUUUCAAAGAAUACUACUAGUAUUCAAUCCAUGCAUGCAUAUGCUACAAUUUAUCAUGUUUAAUUAAUUAUUGAGUCUUACAAUGUUAAGAAGGAUAAAAAGAUAAAAUAUACUCCUAAUCAUUGGAUUUCUUAAUGGGUGUGCCAAGGUCGAAAGGGUCAUCUAAUUCAAAAUGGAGCAAGUAUUACUCUAUCCCCUAGCUUCACCUUUUCACAUACUUCAAUAUUAUUGCGCAAGUUGGCCCAGACACCACGAUUAUAAAAAAAAAAAAAAAAAAAAAAAUUUAUAAACAAUGAAAGAAGAAACUUUCCUGAAAGCUUAAAAAUCAAUUCAAAAGUCAUUUACUUAAGCAGUCCGAUGCACUAAAGCUUCCAUUAUGUGCAGAGUCCAGGAAAGGGCCCGACCUCAAAGGUCUAUUGUAUGCAAC
rnacentral:lncRNA from 1 species